UAAGAAUGGGAAACUAGCCCUUAGCAACAGAGCAUUGGCCAAGCUUAUUAUACAGUACAAGAGGUGUGGGAGAAUUAAUGAUCUGUCAAAGCUUCUCUGUAGUAUCCAGAAGAAGGGCUCAGUUGAAUCUAGCAGAAUGUGCUCUGAUGUGGUUUCUGCCUGCAUUUGCAUGGGUUGGCUUGAAAUUGCUCAUGAUAUUUUGGAUGAUUUGGAUUCUGAAGGAAAUCCG
rnacentral:misc_RNA from 1 species